UCUGUCUAAGAAUGAUCUUGACUUUCAAAUAUGCAAAUGUAUCACUGUGAAUAUAAGGAGGGAAUGACCGCCACAGUUGAAUCUCCAAUUCUUUUUAUGGGCCAUUUCUAAAAUUGCCAUGAUUUGGAAGUCUAUGGAGCAGAAAGUGAAUUACUAGAGUCUAUGUUUGCAAAGGGUCUGAUGAUUUUUUAAUAGUUCCACAUUGAUAUAAUUAUGAAAAUAUGUGACAAUAAUGCUUCCUUUUCUGAGGGUUUUGGAGUAUUUACACUAGAAGAACAGCACAGUCAAGAUGCAAUGUCAGAAGAUGGCGCUACUCUCCAAGAGAGAGGGGAUUCUUUUAUCAAGCAUGGUUUCUGUAAUUUCUGGCUGACCCAUAUAUAACAAGCAACAGGUGGCAAGACAACUGAUGUGUGCAUGAAACUGAGAUGGAAAAAUCUUAAUGUCUAACCAGGAUGGUGGUUUUACAAAGAAAUGUAAUCAUUUACUUUUUUUAUUCAAUACACAUUUUUUAAGCACUUGCUAUUUGUAAUGUUCUGAAUUGUGGGGGAUAUAGACAAGAAACAAUGCCUGUUAAAAGCUAACAGCUUAUCAACGCUGUGCACAUACACAUUCUCAUGCAUGCACACGGGACUGUUAAAUAUGCUAACAUGUUAUACAACAAUAAGGAAAAGCAGAAAAUGAUUAGGCAGUCCAGAGGACAGCCAGUCUGGACAGAGAAUAAAGACAAAAUUAGAAAGAGCAAGAGAAAUAAUUUUACUGGAAAAACAGAGAACAUUCUGGUGAAUGAUGGAAUAUGAGACUGGGAAAAUAAGUUGACCUGAGCUUGGAGGCCUCUGAAUAACACACAGACAUGCUCAUACAUUAUUUCAUAAUAAUGAGGUUCCACCAAAGGCUUUUGAGCCAGGUAGUGAGCUAUCCGAGCUGUGCUUUGGAAGUCAACUUGUUUGAUGGUGCAGAGAAGCUUCCUGAUUCCACCUGGACAAAUGGCUGGGAUGAAAGAUGGGAACAAAGUUGUUUUAUCCUUGGUUCUCUUCACCUACAAGGUAGGCUUGGGAUCACCUAGGUUUGUGUUGGCUUAUACAUCCUCUGCAGCCUCAGGGUUUGAGCACAAAAGGAAUGAGGGACUAAAAUUAGUAGAAAAGAAACAGGUUGAUUAUCAGUCUGGUGGUGAUUAUUUUAAGACCACCAAAUGGGCUACCAAGGCAAGUCCCUUAUGCAGUUUGGCCUUAACUUUCCUUCCUUUACUCUUUCUGGUUGUUAUUGCAAAGCUUUCCCAUUUAAAACAGUUUCUACCAGGGGAUAUUUCGGAGUCUCUCUGCUGUACAGAACAAUCAGUAGUGCAACCUUUCCUCUCCAGGAAAAACUGCCAUGUUGCAUCGAGGCAAAAAAAAAAAUGGAAAUUGAAACAAAUAAACCCUUCAUGUCUUUUUACUUCUUGUCUUUUUUUUUUUUUUUUUGACUUAAGUACAUGCAUUUCUGUAUUUUGCUCCAUUCUUAAAUGA
rnacentral:lncRNA from 1 species